rfam:Aedes albopictus isolate Foshan contig105673, whole genome shotgun sequence.
UAGCCUAGUGGUUAAGGCUAUGGAUCGCCAAUCCGGAGACGACGGGUUCGAUUCCCAU